GCUGGGGGCAGGUCCAGAGCUGGGAUCUCAGGAGGCAGCGCUCUCAGGACGUCUCCACCAUGGUCUGGGCUCUGCUCCUCCUCACCCUCCUCACUCAGGGCACAGGAUCCUGGGCUCAGGCUGCCCUGACUCAGCCUCCCUCUGUGUCCGGGUCUCCUGGACAGUCGGUCACCAUCUCCUGCACGGGAACCAGCAGUGACAUCGGUGGUUAUAACUAUGUCUCCUGGUACCAACAGCACCCAGGCAAAGCCCCCAAACUCAUGAUUUAUGAUGUCAGUAAGCGGCCCUCAGGGGUCUCCGAUCGCUUCUCUGGCUCCAAGUCUGGCAACACGGCCUCCCUGACCAUCUCUGGGCUCCAGGCUGAGGACGAGGCUGAUUAUUACUGCAGCUCAUAUACAAGCAGCAACACUUUCCACAGUGAUCCAAGUUCAUGAGGAACUGAGACCAAAACCUGCCC